rnacentral:rRNA from 1 species
CGACUGUUUUCCAAAAACAUAGCUUNUAGAAAUAAUUAGAAGUAAAAUCCUGCCCGGUGAAAGCAAUUUUAAACGGCCACAAUCCUGCAAAGGUAGCGUAAUCAGUUGUCCUUUUACUGAGGACUAGUAUGAAAGGAAAAACGAGGCUCAACUGUCUCUAUUAAAAAAAUAGAAAUUAUUUUUAGAUGAAAAAAUCUAAUAAAAUUAAAGGACGAAAAGACCCUAUAGAGUUUAAAUAUAAUUAUACUAUUCACAAAUUAAACAAAGCGAAUAGAAUAAAUAUUUUAAUUGGGGCAACAUAGGAACAAGAAAUUUCCUUAUAGUAAACAUUUAAAUCAUAAAAAUGAAAAUCCUCAAAGAGAUAAAGAAAAACUACCUUAGGGAUAACAGCGUAAUUUUUCUAAAGAGACCUAAUCGAAAGAAAAGUUUGCGACCUCGAUGUUGGACUAAGGCAUCAAAAUGGUGAAGAAACUAUUAAAAGAGGGCCUGUCGGCCUAAUAGCCUUACAUGAUUU